GCUGGGCAUGGUGGUGCAGGCCUGUAAUUCCAGCGGCUCUGAAGGCUGACGCAGGAGAGUCACGAGUUCAAAGCCAGCCUCAGCAAAAGUGAGACACUAAGCAACUCAGUGAGACCCUGUUUCUA
rnacentral:sRNA from 1 species